CGUUGUGAAACCACCGGUUCACAAACCACCAAAACCAUGUCCACCACCCAAGUCAUCUCCAAAACCACCCCAUGUACACCCUCCCUAUGUUCCAAAACCUCCUCACUACCCUAAACCACCAGUUCAUCCACAUCCACCCCAUGUCCCAAAACCUCAUCCAAAGCCUCCAGUGCAUCCCCAUCCACCUUAUGUCCCAAAACCACCAGUUGUGCCAGUUACACCACCAUAUGUUCCAAAACCACCAAUUGUGAACCCUCCCUAUGUCCCAAAACCGCCUGUUGUGCCAGUUACACCACCUUAUAUCCCUAAACCACCAGUUGUGACACCACCAUAUGUCCCUAAACCACCAGUGGUGCCAGUUACACCACCAUAUGUCCCUAAACCACCAGUGGUGCCAGUUACACCACCUUAUGUGCCAAAACCACCCAUUGUGAAACCACCAAUUGUUUAUCCACCAGUUGUGCCAAAACCACCAAUUGUUACACCACCUUAUGUGCCAAAACCACCCAUUGUGAAACCACCAAUUGUUUAUCCACCAGUUGUGCCAAAACCACCAAUUGUUACACCACCUUAUGUGCCAAAACCACCCAUUGUGAAACCACCAAUUGUUUAUCCACCAGUUGUGCCAACACCACCUAUUGUGUAUCCACCUGUUGUACCAACUCCACCGGUGGUUACUCCACCCGUGGUUACACCACCAAGUCCUCCAAGUGAAACACCAUGUCCACCACCACCACCACCAGUGGUGCCAUACCCACCACCAGCACAACCAACAUGCCCCAUCGACACCCUAAAACUGGGGGCAUGUGUGGAUGUGCUUGGUGGCCUCAUACACAUUGGCAUAGGCAGCAGUGCCCAGCAGACCU
rnacentral:lncRNA from 1 species